GAUGAAGAACGCAGCGAAAUGCGAUAAGUAGUGUGAAUUGCAGAAUUCAGUGAAUCAUCGAAUCUUUGAACGCACAUUGCGCCCUUUGGUAUUCCUUAGGGCAUGCCUGUUCGAGCGUCAUUUAAACCUUCAAGCUAAGCUUGGUGUUGGGUGACUGUCCGCCUCACGGCGGACUCGCCUCAAAAUUAUUGGCGGCCGGUACAUUGGCUUCGAGCGCAGCAGAAACGCGAACUCGGGCCCGUCGUAUUGGCUCCCAGAAGCUAUCUUCACAAUUUUGACCUCGGAUCAGGUAGGGAUACCCGCGGAACUUAAGCAUAUCAAUAAGCGGAGGA
rnacentral:misc_RNA from 1 species